GUAGUCAUAUGCUUGUCUCAAAGAUUAAGCCAUGCAUGUCUAAGUAUAAGCAACUAUACGGUGAAACUGCGAAUGGCUCAUUAAAUCAGUUAUCGUUUAUUUGAUAGUACCUUACUACUUGGAUAACCGUGGUAAUUCUAGAGCUAAUACAUGCUAAAAACCCCAACUUCGGAAGGGGUGUAUUUAUUAGAUAAAAAACCAACGCCCUUCGGGGCUCCUUGGUGAAUCAUAAUAACUUAACGAAUCGCAUGGCCUUGCGCCGGCGAUGGUUCAUUCAAAUUUCUGCCCUAUCAACUUUCGAUGGUAGGAUAGUGGCCUACCAUGGUUGCAACGGGUAACGGGGAAUG
rnacentral:rRNA from 1 species